rnacentral:hammerhead_ribozyme from 1 species
AUCCAACUGACGAGUCCCAAAUAGGACGAAACGUGCAU